UUGAACGCUGGCGGCAUGCCUUACACAUGCAAGUCGAACGGCAGCGCGGGGCAACCUGGCGGCGAGUGGCGAACGGGUGAGUAAUAUAUCGGAACGUACCCUGGAGUGGGGGAUAACGUAGCGAAAGUUACGCUAAUACCGCAUACGAUCUAAGGAUGAAAGUGGGGGAUCGCAAGACCUCAUGCUCCUGGAGCGGCCGAUAUCUGAUUAGCUAGUUGGUGGGGUAAAGGCCUACCAAGGCAUCGAUCAGUAGCUGGUCUGAGAGGACGACCAGCCACACUGGAACUGAGACACGGUCCAGACUCCUACGGGAGGCAGCAGUGGGGAAUUUUGGACAAUGGGCGAAAGCCUGAUCCAGCAAUGCCGCGUGAGUGAAGAAGGCCUUCGGGUUGUAAAGCUCUUUUGUCAGGGAAGAAACGGUGAGGGCUAAUAUCCCUUGCUAAUGACGGUACCUGAAGAAUAAGCACCGGCUAACUACGU
rnacentral:rRNA from 1 species